CCAGUGCCCCUGGGGACCCCAUCCCAGGCCCGUCAGUGCCUCUGGGACCCCUAUCCAAGCUCCCCCCGUUCCUGUGGAUGCCCUUCUGCAUCAGGAGCCCCCCAAUCCCACCAGAGCCCCCAAAGUGGAGGUCUCACCUGUGGCCACGCCCCUUGAUCAAGCCACGCCCCUUUCAUACCUAAGCCGCGCCCCCCGUCGCCCCUGGCGGGUCCUCCAAGAUACCAGCUCCGCUAGGGGGCGCCUGUAGCAGCGGCAGCCGCUCCGCUCCGCGCCUUGUCGCUCCGUGGCGUCACUUCCGGGGGCGCGGAGGCGAGGCCGCGCCCGGCCGGCAGCACCAUGUCCUCCGAGUCCAGCAAGAAGAGGAAGCCCAAGGUGAUCCGCACGGACGGGGUCCCAGCCGAGGGCAAGCGGGGCAAGGGCGACUCGGACCAGGAGACACAAACACUCCUCUGGAGAGUGAGCACAAAGCUGGAAGAUCCCUC